rnacentral:rRNA from 1 species
UACGUAGGGUGCAAGCGUUGUCCGGAAUUAUUGGGCGUAAAGAGCUCGUAGGCGGUCUGUUGCGUCGGCUGUGAAAACCCGGGGCUCAACUCCGGGCCUGCAGCCGAUACGGGCAGACUAGAGUUCGGCAGGGGAGACUGGAAUUCCUGGUGUAGCGGUGAAAUGCGCAGAUAUCAGGAGGAACACCGAUGGCGAAGGCAGGUCUCUGGGCCAUAACUGACGCUGAGAAGCGAAAGCAUGGGGAGCGAACAGG